UUAUGACACAAUCUCAAAAAGAAAACAGUUGGAACUGUUUAGGAUUUUGCAAAGUUUGCCUGAUUAAACUAAGCCUUAAAGCGACGGCUAUAUUGUAGGUAAAGAUAAGUACUUCCACUCUUGUUAUGGGUAACAAGAGUACAAUGUCACA